CUCAGAUUGAAAAGGAACAUCAUUACAGUACAGUAUAUAAAUCGAGAGCGACGUUUCAAAAUUCAGACACAAGUUCAACAUGAAGUUCUACGCAUUCGCUCUUCUUUUGGCAUUCCUCGUCAUCUACGAGGUCUCCGCCCAAGACGCCGACUCUCAAGGUGAUAGUGGUGAUGAUAGCUCUGGUGGUAGGGGCAAAAGUGCAGGAAAGGGAAACAGUAGAGGAAAAAGCGAAGGCAAAGGAAACGGUAGAGGAAAGAGCGAAGGGAAAGGCCAAGGCAGUGGAGGUUCGGGAGAUGAAUAAUAAGCUUCAACUUGUGUAUACAAUGUUUAACCAUUGAAUAAAGGAUUUGCUUUGA